rnacentral:rRNA from 1 species
AUUGAACGCUGGCGGCAGGCCUAACACAUGCAAGUCGAGCGAGCGGCGGACGGGUGAGUAAUGUAUGGGGACUGCCCGAUAGAGGGGGAUAACUACUGGAAACGGUGGCUAAUACCGCAUACUAUCGGAUAACCCAUAUGGGAUUAGCUAGUAGGUGGGGUAAAGGCUCACCUAGGCGACGAUCGCUAGCUGGUCUGAGAGGAUGAUCAGCCACACUGGGACGUAGAAACGGUCCAUACUCCUACGGAGGCAGCAGUGGGGAAUAUUGCACAAUGGGCGCAAGCCUUAUGCAGCGUUGCCGCGUGUAUGAAGAAGGCCUUCGGGUUGUAAAGUACUUUCAGCGGGGAGGCGUUACCCGCAGAAGAAGCACCGGCUAACACCGUGCCAGCAGCCGCGGUAAGAC